UGCUAAGAAAAGGAGUUACACCUUUAUUUAAGCGUUU
rnacentral:tRNA from 1 species